rnacentral:rRNA from 1 species
CCUACGGGGGGCAGCAGUGGGGAAUAUUGGACAAUGGGGGGAACCCUGAUCCAGCCAUGCCGCGUGUGUGAAGAAGGCCCUCGGGUUGUAAAGCACUUUCAGUGAGGAAGAACGCCUGGUGGUUAAUACCCAUCAGGAAAGACAUCACUCACAGAAGAAGCACCGGCUAACUCCGUGCCAGCAGCCGCGGUAAUACGGAGGGUGCGAGCGUUAAUCGGAAUUACUGGGCGUAAAGCGCGCGUAGGUGGCUUGAUAAGCCGGUUGUGAAAGCCCCGGGCUCAACCUGGAACGGCAUCCGGAACUGUCAAGCUAGAGUGCAGGAGAGGAAGGUAGAAUUCCCGGUGUAGCGGUGAAAUGCGUAGAGAUCGGGAGGAAUACCAGUGGCGAAGGCGGCCUUCUGGACUGACACUGACACUGAGGUGCGAAAGCGUGGGUAGCAAACAGGAUUAGAUACCCCUGUAGUC